rnacentral:rRNA from 1 species
CGCUCUCACUCCUACGGGAGGCAGCAGUGGGGAAUAUUGCACAAUGGGCGCAAGCCUGAUGCAGCCAUGCCGCGUGUAUGAAGAAGGCCUUCGGGUUGUAAAGUACUUUCAGCAGUGAGGAAGGCGGGUACGUUAAUAGCGUGCUGUUUGACGUUAGCUGCAGAAGAAGCACCGGCUAACUCCGUGCCAGCAGCCGCGGUAAUACGGAGGGUGCGAGCGUUAAUCGGAAUUACUGGGCGUAAAGCGCAUGCAGGUGGUUUGUUAAGUCAGAUGUGAAAGCCCGGGGCUCAACCUCGGAAUUGCAUUUGAAACUGGCAGACUAGAGUACUGUAGAGGGGGUAGAAUUUCAGGUGUAGCGGUGAAAUGCGUAGAGAUCUGAAGGAAUACCGGUGGCGAAGGCGGCCCCCUGGACAGAUACUGACACUCAGAUGCGAAAGCGUGGGGAGCAAACAGGAUUAGAUACCCUGGUAG